CAAAGCACUUUGAAGAGAGAGUUAAAGAGGACGUGAAACCGGUAGGAUGGAAACGGAUAGAGCUAGCGAAGCUGCUCGUAUUCAGCCGAAAGCCUAUGGCUUCGGGCGGUUUGGAUGCUAACCACGCCCGACAGUCUGUUGAGCCUGUGGUUGAGGUGCAUUUGCGGGCAAUUGCGCCGAGACUUGUGGAAGAGCGGCUGGACGUGCUCAUAGAGGCCUCCCUCUGGGUUGUACCUGUUUGCACUGACAGCUGUUUCUACUGCUCGUAAUCGGGUUUGGCCUACGAACCUAUGGGUCGUUGCCGUGUUUGGUUGGUGGAGUUGYAUGCAACUCCUAGAUCAGGCAUUGUAAUUGCUUAUGGGUUCUCAAGCCCACUCUCGGUGUAGAAGCUGGUCAUCUAUCCGACCCGUCUUGAAACACGGACCAAGGAGUUUAGCGUAUGCGCGAGUCAUUGGGUGUUGAAAACCCACAGGCGAAAUGAAAGUGAAGGCCCAGUCGCUGAGCCUACAUGCGAAUGGAUGAACCUCGGUUCGUUCAUGCAGCAUGGUCCCGUUCUAAUCGCUUGCGAUGGAGCGGAGAUAGAGCGUAUGCGCUGAGACCCGAAAGAUGGUGAACUAUUCCUGAGCAGGACGAAGCCAGAGGAAACUCUGGUGGAAGUCCGAAGCGAUUCUGACGUGCAAAUCGAUCGUCUGA
rnacentral:rRNA from 1 species